rnacentral:rRNA from 1 species
UAACACAUGCAAGUCGAGCGGUAGAGAGGUGCUUGCAGUCUCUUGAGGGCGGCGGACGGGUGAGUAAUGCCUAGGAAUCUGCCUAGUGGUGGGGGGAUAACGUUCCGGAAACGGACGCUAAUACCGCAUACGUCCUACGGGAGAAAGCGGGGGAUCUUCGGACCUCGCGCCAUUAGAUGAGCCUAGGUCGGAUUAGCUAGUUGGUGAGGUAAUGGCUCACCAAGGCGACGAUCCGUAACUGGUCUGAGAGGAUGAUCAGUCACACUGGAACUGAGACACGGUCCAGACUCCUACGGGAGGCAGCAGUGGGGGAAUAUUGGACAAUGGGCGAAAGCCUGAUCCAGCCAUGCCGCGUGUGUGAAGAAGGUCUUCGGAUUGUAAAGCACUUUAAGUUGGGAGGAAGGGUAGUAACCUAAUACGUUGCUACUUUGACGUUACCGACAGAAUAAGCACCGGCUAACUUCGUG